ACUAUACCACCCUGAAUGUGCCCGAUCUCAUCUAAUCUCAAAUGCUAAGCAGGGUCGAGCCUGGUUAGUACUUAGACCAGAGAAAACGCAAGCCAAAAAUU
ensembl:rRNA 5S_rRNA 5S ribosomal RNA